UACGGGGGGGGCAAGCGUUGUUCGGAAUUACUGGGCGUAAAGGGCUUGUAGGUGGCCAACUAAGUCAGACGUGAAAUCCCUCAGCUUAACUGGGGAACUGCGUCUGAUACUGGAUGGCUUGAGUUUGGGAGAGGGAUGCGGAAUUCCAGGUGUAGCGGUGAAAUGCGUAGAUAUCUGGAGGAACACCGGUGGCGAAGGCGGCAUCCUGGACCAACACUGACACUGAGGAGCGAAAGCGUGGGGAGCAAACAGG
rnacentral:rRNA from 1 species